UCUAAGGAUGAAUGAAAGUAAAAUUUCAUUCUAAAUAAUAUACAUAGGUAAUGUUGACCGUCCUCAUUUCUCUUCUUAAAGUAGUGUUUCUCUUGCAUGGGGGCCGGUAGCUCAGUUGGUUAGAGCACACCCUUGAUAAGGGUGGGGUCGAAAGUUCGAGUCUUUCUCGGCCCACCAAUAUAAGAUCAUGGGGGAUUAGCUCAGCUGGGAGAGCGCCUGAUUUGCAUUCAGGAGGUCAGCGGUUCGAUCCCGCUAUCCUCCACCAAAAACACUUAGUUAUAAAAAUCGUAAAUAAAAAUAAUAAUUAAUAUCAAUAUCUAUAUCCGAACAUUAGUAAUGUUAUUAGCUAAUGUUCAAAAUAAAAAUUUGAUUCAACACAGAAUUUUUUUCUG
rnacentral:tRNA from 1 species